GUGGUGGGACCAAAAGGCAUUCCAGGACCUCGACGCCUAUCAGUGGCGCAGACUGCGUUGGGUCCGCAACAAGUUCACUAUUUACAACUAUUGCAGCGAUAGGGUGAGGUACCCCACAAUGUCGCCCGAGUGCAAGAGAGACAGAGACGCUUGAUUCAUUUCCAUCACCACCGAGUCCAAGUUCCCCCCUUAUAUUCUUCACUACCAUAUGAGAUCCGUCAUUGUCCUUUAGAUUUCAAUUGCUUGUUGGCCUUCACUUAUUUCCACAUCAAUUUCAU
rnacentral:lncRNA from 1 species